AGAUGGCGACCGGCGCACGGGUGAGUAACACGUAUCCAACCUGCCGAUAACUCCGGAAUAGCCUUUCGAAAGAGAGAUUAAUACCGGAUGGCAUACGAAUAUCGCAUGAUAUUUUUAUUAAAGAAUUUCGGUUAUCGAUGGGGAUGCGUUCCAUUAGUUUGUUGGCGGGGUAACGGCCCACCAAGACUACGAUGGAUAGGGGUUCUGAGAGGAAGGUCCCCCACAUUGGAACUGAGACACGGUCCAA
rnacentral:rRNA from 1 species